rnacentral:rRNA from 1 species
GCAGCGCGGCUAUCUGCAGUCGAGCGACAGACGAGGAGCUUGCUCCUCUGACGUUAGCGGCGGACGGGUGAGUAACACGUGGAUAACCUACCUAUAAGACUGGGAUAACUUCGGGAAACCGGAGCUAAUACCGGAUAAUAUAUUGAACCGCAUGGUUCAAUAGUGAAAGACGGUUUUGCUGUCACUUAUAGAUGGAUCCGCGCCGCAUUAGCUAGUUGGUAAGGUAACGGCUUACCAAGGCAACGAUGCGUAGCCGACCUGAGAGGGUGAUCGGCCACACUGGAACUGAGACACGGUCCAGACUCCUACGGGAGGCAGCAGUAGGGAAUCUUCCGCAAUGGGCGAAAGCCUGACGGAGCAACGCCGCGUGAGUGAUGAAGGUCUUCGGAUCGUAAAACUCUGUUAUUAGGGAAGAACAAAUGUGUAAGUAACUAUGCACGUCUUGACGGUACCUAAUCAGAAAGCCACGGCUAACUACGUGCCAGCAGCCGCGGUAAUACGUAGGUGGCAAGCGUUAUCCGGAAUUAUUGGGCGUAAAGCGCGCGUAGGCGGUUUUUUAAGUCUGAUGUGAAAGCCCACGGCUCAACCGUGGAGGGUCAUUGGAAACUGGAAAACUUGAGUGCAGAAGAGGAAAGUGGAAUUCCAUGUGUAGCGGUGAAAUGCGCAGAGAUAUGGAGGAACACCAGUGGCGAAGGCGACUUUCUGGUCUGUAACUGACGCUGAUGUGCGAAAGCGUGGGGAUCAAACAGGAUUAGAUACCCUGGUAGUCCACGCCGUANACGAUGAGUGCUAAGUGUUAGGGGGUUUCCGCCCCUUAGUGCUGCAGCUAACGCAUUAAGCA